rnacentral:rRNA from 1 species
UGGGGAAUAUUGCACAAUGGGCGCAAGCCUGAUGCAGCCAUGCCGCGUGUGUGAAGAAGGCCUCGGGUUGUAAAGCACUUUCAGCGAGGAGGAAGGUGGUGAACUUAAUACGUUCAUCAAUUGACGUUACUCGCAGAAGAAGCACCGGCUAACUCCGUGCCAGCAGCCGCGGCAAUACGGAGGGUGCAAGCGUUAAUCGGAAUUACUGGGCGUAAAGCGCACGCAGGCGGUUUGUUAAGUCAGAUGUGAAAUCCCCGGCUCAACCUGGGAACUGCAUUUGAAACUGGCAAGCUAGAGUCUCNUAGAGGGGGGUAGAAUUCCAGGUGUAGCGGUGAAAUGCGUAGAGAUCUGGAGGAAUACCGGUGGCGAAGGCGGCCCCCUGACGAAGACUGACGCUCAGGUGCGAAAAGCGUGGGGAGCAAACAGGAUUAGAUACCCUGGUAGUCCACGCUGUAAAACGAUGUCGAUUUUGGAGGUUGUGCCCUUGAGGCGUGGCUUCCGGAGCUAACGCGUUAAAUCGACCGCCUGGGGAGUACGGCCGCAAGGUUAAAAC